CAAUAUGAUCCUUUAAUUAAAGAGCGCAAUUUACACUGAGCAGAUCACAGUUAGUUAUAACACAGUGGAGGGGAGGAAUCUGCUACAGGUGAACUAGAGAAGGAGAUGGUAGGCGCUGAAGAAGGCGUGUCCUGAUGUCUUUAGGAUGCCUCCUUAGAGGGACUCGAUGCUUUGUUACUCCAGCAGAGGAUUGUCAAGGUGCACAGUAUUUUUCAGAGGAUGCAUGAUGGAUGAUAUUGCAACAGAUUGACCAUGGAUGCAGAUACAAGAAUUCAGCUGUCUUCUGUUAAGCCAGACAUUAAAGAAAUUUUC
rnacentral:lncRNA from 1 species